rnacentral:rRNA from 1 species
CCUACGGGAGGCAGCAGUGGGGGAUAUUGCACAAUGGGGGGAACCCUGAUGCAGCGACGCCGCGUGUGGGAAGACGGUCCUCUGGAUUGUAAACCACUGUCCCCAGGGACGAAAAUGACGGUACCUGGGGAGGAAGCUCCGGCUAAAUACGUGCCAGCAGCCGCGGUACUUCGUAGGGAGCGAGGGUUGUCCGGAAUUACUGGGGGAAAGGGGAGCGUAGGCGGGGAUGAAAGGUGGGUGUCAAAACUACGGGCUAAACUGGUAGUCGCACUCAAAACUGCAGCUCUUGAGUGAAGUAGAGGCAGGCGGAAUUCCUAGUGUAGCGGUGAAAUGCGUAGAUAUUAGGAGGAACACCAGUGGCGAAGGCGGCCUGCUGGGCUUUUACUGACGCUGAGGCUCGAAAGUGUGGGGAGCAAACAGGAUUAGAUACCCGUGUAGUC